rnacentral:lncRNA from 10 species
AAGUGUCCUGUUAUUAAAGGGAGUUUGACCCUCUCUUGCUGGCUUGCUCUCAUGCUUUCUUGUCCUUCUGCCUUCUGCCAUGGGAUGACACAGCAAGAAGCCCCUUGCCAGAUGUGGGCCUCUCGACCUUGGACUUCUUAGCUUCCAGAACUAGGAGCCAUUGAAGAAUACUGUUGUCCUAUCCCAGAAGGAGCAAGCGGACAACACUGAUAUCCUGACCACUAACCAUCCAGCACCACUUAAAGUUUUAAAAAGAAUAACAGAAAGAAAGAAGUGGCUGAAACCUAAAUGCCAUAUGGAGAAGACAGCUAAUUGCCACACUCUCCUCUUUGGUCUUUCCUGGUACGCAGCAUACAAGCCCACAGAUUGAGGACUCUGCACUUGCUGUUCUCUCUGCCUGGAGCUCUAUGGCUCCAGAUAGACUCCUGCCAACUCCUUCGCCUUGUCCAAGUUACCUUCAUUAAAUGUCAGCUUAAAUGUGUGCCUACUUUUUGCCCUACCUAGAAUUGCAAGCACCUCUCACCACUGUGCUCCCAUUCUCCUUAACUUAAGCCACUUUUAUUCUCAUAAUAAAGCCACAUAUUUUUUCUUAUUAUAUCAUAAUCGUACUGUAUAAUUUAUAUUUUAUUACUUUUGUUUGUAUACUUAUUGUAUGUUUCUGUUCACAAGGAUGUAAACCCCAUGAACACAGAGAUCUUUGAUUGUUUUAUUCACUGAUUUAUGCCAAAUGUUUGGAACAAUGCCUGGCACAUAGUAGAUGUUUGAUAAUUUUUUUUUUUUCUGAAUGAAUAAAUACAUUUUAGCCAAAUAUGCUGACUCUGCUUGUUUGGUUAUAUUUAUGUGUGUGUGAAUGUAUGUGCAGAAAAAGAAGAAAUUAGUUAAUACCAAAUCUAUAAAAUGGGAAAAAUAAUGCUUACCUUAUAGUGUUGUUAUGAAACUCAACUAAUAUAAGAUAUGUGAAGGGUCUAGCAUAAAAUGUGGAGCAUAAUAAGCAUUCAAUAAAUGGCAUUCUGUUUUAUUAACCAUCUGGUUGCCUAUUGUUGAAGGUCGGCUCUUUAAUGUGCAAAUUAAGGUGUUUUAUUUCCUUCAUAUAUCAAUUAUAGUCUGUUUAUUUACUUCUAGAUAAAAUCCUUUGAUGGACAUUUAAGCUGUGCCAACUAUUUACUAAUAAAAAUAUUUACAUUCUG